UUCCUCCUCCCCAAACCCUAGCCGCCGCCGCCGGCGUACUCGAGAGAAACAUCAGCAUCCAUGGCGGGCAAGGGCGAGGGUCCGGCCAUCGGCAUCGACCUUGGCACGACCUACUCGUGCGUGGGCGUUUGGCAGCACGACCGCGUGGAGAUCAUCGCCAACGACCAGGGCAACCGCACCACCCCCUCCUACGUCGGCUUCACCGACUCCGAGAGGCUCAUCGGAGAUGCUGCCAAGAACCAGGUCGCCAUGAACCCCAUCAACACCGUCUUUGGUAACUACUUAUUCCCUGCUCCUCAGUCCUCUCUCUUUCUCUCUCUCCCCCCUUAGAUCUCAUCUCUAAGGUCUUCGUCGUCGUCGUAUGCUAGAUCUACUCUUGCCCAGCUCGUUCAGAUCUGUUAGAUUUGUGUGGGAUGCUCUAAUUAAUUACUACCAACUUAGUAGAUCUGGAACUCUUUUGACUUGCAGAUCUUGCUCCACUCCUGUUGCAUUUUGAAUCUGUGUUGAUGUGAUUUAAGUUGUUGGCAGUGCUUUUUGCAUACUAUUUGAAUUUGUGGAUGGUUAGCAGUCAGUACACUAGGAUUUAUUACUGGAUCUGGACAGAUAUGCUCGUUUCAAUCGGCUCGAUUUGCUAUGUUGAUAGCUAACAUGUUGUGCUUGUCCUACUGCCCUGGCGCAAAUUUGAUCCAUGCAUUCUUUUCGUUAAAUGAUUUGUCAAGUAGUAAUGCUUGUUUGAAAAUGAUAUUAUUAUUAUUAUUAUUAUUUUAAAUAAAUAUAGCCUGAAACAUUCUUAGUUUCGAGGAGAAGUGAUGAUGUCUUAUCCAUACCACAUGUCUGCAUCUCAUAUGAUGAUUAAUCUACAUCAUGCACUACCAUCUGAUCUCCUCUAGCUCAUACAGCUUUUAACAAGUUAGGCGAUAGAUGUUUGCUACAAACAGUCAACUGGAUUUGCUUUCUUGAAAGAAAAAAAAUGAACCGUGUAGUUUGCAACCUGUGAUGUAAAUUAACCCAUUUACUGAACUACAUUGAUUAUUUCAGUAAAAUCACCAUCUUUCGGCUGAGGUUGCAUGCUUAGUUAUUAUAUUUUUACCAAUGAUGAUUUUGUUAUGUAGCCAGAUACUGUACUUUCUUAUGCCAUUUGGUAUCUGACUCAUUGUCUACUUUUGUGACUAUGUGUCUCGAAAUAUGGCAUAUAAUAAGGGGGAACGGAUCUUGCGACAUUGAUGGCUCCUGUAUGAGCCUCCAAUUACUAUAUAGCCGUUUACAUGUUCUUAUCAUGUUACUUUUCCAAAUUAGUGCUGCACAUCUUGUCUGUUUGCAAGUUUGGGUUCAUUCAUAUUGCUGUGGGCAUUUUAAUACAUCUUAACUAUAAUGUAAAUUUCUUGUACAUCGCUAAAAUUUUCUGCCUUGAUUGAGUAGACUCUUAGAUGACAUCUAUCUUACCUUAUGCACUUGAUUCGUAUUUCUGUUACAACAUUUUGAUUACUUGAUGUAGUUCACACAAGCAUGACACAUCUCUUUGAAAAAAAGAUUUCAUUUUUUAAAGCAAGCCUAAUGCUUUAGGGUGGGAGAAGUGAUGAUACUUAAUCCAUACAACAUUUCUGCAUCUCAGAUGAUGAUCAAUCUACAUCAUGCACUACCAUCUGAUCUCCCCAUCAUACAAUUUUUUAUUUUGUUUUGUUGGAUUAUAUAACUUUAACAUUUGAUAAAGUGCCAACAGAUUUUUAUACACAAUUUCUUAUAGAUAUUACCAUGACAGCUUGCAGCCUGUGAUGCAAAAGUACCCAUUAAACUGAAUUACACUGAUUAUUCCAAACAAAUCACCAUCUUUCGGCUGAGGUUGCUUGCUUGUUUAAAAUUAUGAAUGCUUCUUGCACAACCAUUUAGGACUUUCGGUAGUUUGUAAUGCCAUUUGGUAUCUGACACAUGGUCUGCGCUUGUGACUAUUUGUCUUGAAAUAUGGCAUAAAACAAGGGGGAACGGAUCUUGCGACAUUGGUGGUUCCUCUAUGAUCCUCCAAUUACUAUAUAGCUGUUUACAAUUUGUUAAGUUAGGAGCAUACCUUUUGCUUUGUCAUCAAAGUCUUGGUUCCUUUGUAUUUCUAGUUCAGAUUCAUUUUUCUUCAGCUUUUGAAACAUAAACUCAGUAUAUUUUUACUGUAAUUGCUGACAUUGAGUCUUCUCUGCAGAUGCCAAGCGUCUCAUUGGCAGGAGGUUUAGCGAUGCUUCUGUUCAGAGUGACAUUAAGCUCUGGCCCUUCAAGGUGAUUGCUGGACCUGGUGACAAGCCUAUGAUUGUUGUCCAGUACAAGGGUGAGGAGAAGCAGUUUGCUGCAGAAGAGAUCUCCUCCAUGGUCCUCAUCAAGAUGCGUGAGAUUGCUGAGGCCUACCUUGGCACCACCAUCAAGAAUGCCGUUGUCACUGUUCCUGCCUACUUCAAUGACUCCCAGAGGCAGGCCACCAAGGAUGCUGGAGUGAUUGCUGGUCUCAAUGUCAUGCGUAUCAUCAACGAGCCGACUGCUGCAGCUAUUGCCUAUGGUCUUGAUAAGAAGGCCACCAGCGUUGGUGAGAAGAAUGUCCUCAUCUUUGACCUUGGAGGUGGUACCUUUGAUGUCUCCCUCCUUACCAUUGAGGAGGGUAUCUUUGAGGUCAAGGCCACAGCUGGUGACACCCAUCUUGGUGGUGAAGAUUUUGACAAUCGUAUGGUCAACCACUUUGUGCAAGAAUUCAAGAGGAAGAACAAGAAGGAUAUCACUGGCAACCCCAGGGCUCUCAGGAGGUUGAGGACAGCUUGUGAGAGGGCAAAGAGGACCCUGUCCUCCACUGCCCAGACCACCAUUGAGAUCGAUUCCCUGUAUGAGGGCAUCGACUUCUACUCAACCAUCACCCGUGCCAGGUUUGAGGAGCUCAACAUGGAUCUCUUCAGGAAGUGUAUGGAGCCUGUGGAGAAGUGCCUCAGGGAUGCUAAGAUGGACAAGAGCUCUGUUCAUGAUGUUGUCCUUGUUGGUGGCUCCACUAGGAUCCCGAGGGUGCAGCAGCUCCUGCAGGAUUUCUUCAACGGCAAGGAGCUUUGCAAGAACAUCAACCCAGAUGAGGCUGUUGCUUAUGGUGCUGCUGUCCAGGCUGCCAUCUUGAGUGGUGAGGGCAACGAGAAGGUCCAGGACCUCCUCCUGUUGGAUGUUACCCCUCUCUCUCUCGGUUUGGAGACUGCUGGUGGUGUCAUGACCGUUUUGAUCCCAAGGAACACCACCAUUCCCACCAAGAAGGAGCAGGUCUUCUCCACCUACUCCGACAACCAGCCUGGUGUGCUCAUCCAGGUUUAUGAGGGUGAGAGGACCAGGACACGUGACAACAACCUGCUGGGGAAGUUUGAGCUCUCUGGAAUCCCUCCUGCUCCCAGGGGUGUUCCACAGAUCACUGUUUGCUUCGACAUUGAUGCCAAUGGUAUCCUGAACGUGUCUGCUGAGGACAAGACCACCGGGCAGAAGAACAAGAUCACCAUUACCAACGACAAGGGCAGGCUUAGCAAGGAGGAGAUUGAGAAGAUGGUCCAGGAGGCCGAGAAGUACAAGUCAGAGGAUGAGGAGCACAAGAAGAAGGUGGAGUCCAAGAACGCGCUGGAGAACUACGCCUACAACAUGCGCAACACCAUCAAGGAUGAGAAGAUCGCCUCGAAGCUCCCGGCAGCGGACAAGAAGAAGAUCGAGGAUGCCAUCGACCAGGCCAUCCAGUGGCUGGACGGCAACCAGCUCGCUGAGGCUGAUGAGUUCGAUGACAAGAUGAAGGAGCUGGAGGGCAUCUGCAACCCCAUCAUCGCCAAGAUGUACCAGGGCGCUGGCGCGGACAUGGCCGGCGGCAUGGACGAGGACGAUGCUCCCCCGGCUGGCGGCAGCGGUGCUGGCCCCAAGAUCGAGGAGGUCGACUAAGCGCGAAAUUUGCUAGUGAUCCGCGCUUCAAGUUAUCUUAUUGCAUUAUUAGUGUCUCUUUUAUGUUGUGUUAAAAAACUUUGCUGCUAUGACUUAUGAUGAUACCCUUGGUCUGUUUGGGCAGUCCUUUUGAAUUGAAGAACUGCGUUGGGAGCUCUAUGAGAACUAUGAAUUGCGUGAGAAAUUUAAUUAUUGUGGUGCUUGCAGCGCCUAUUAUUUGGUCUCUGUCCCACGUUUAUUAUUUGCAUGUGCGCAUUGUUUGCUAGCAAUUGCUGUUGUGCUUCUCAGCCAACAUGUAAACUGUUUGGAUUGUUUCUGAUUUUUGGAUGCAUUUUUUAAAGCGGAUAGUGAAGGACGGAUAGUAUGGGAUACGGAAGCAAAUAUGGAUGAUUUUUUUUAAACGAGAAUGAAUAUCCGUCGGAUAUCGGGAACGUCCUCUGGAUAUGCGGCAUAUGCGGCCAGACCUUCCAGCAAUGAUCUUUGAUGUAGUUUCAAGUUGUGAAGAGUUUUAUGGAUGCGAAGGCGAUUUCAGGAUUAAAAAAAAAAGGUUAUUCGUUGUGCACAAGUUGUUCUGUGUGCAUAAGUGUUAUUCACAGCAUUAACAGAUGACCCUUUGAUAAGUUGUCGUGAGCUGCAGUUUUGUCGCAUCAGUAUGCAUUUGCUUCAACUGAGGUGAAACUAAAGCUCUGUCAACUUUUAUGAUACUGUGAGGAAUUAAAUUAUUUCCACGUCGUCUGUUAUUUUGUGCUGCUUCUCUCUUGGACGUGCAUCUAACUGUGCAUUAGCAACUGAUUAGUAGCAACUGUAUUGGUCUCGAGUACUUUUUGGAGGAUAUCUAGCUAUCGUUUGUAUGAUCUUUAGCCUAGUCAAUCCCCGGUAUGAAGAUUGUAUCUCCCUUCGUUUUUCCAUGAGACGAACUGACAUUUCCUUGUUUGAAUCUGCAAGAGUGCUAGUCACAGGCUCAUGCCCCCCCUCCCCCCCCCCCCCCCCCCUAUCUCUCUCUCUGCUUUUUUCUUUUUCUGAACCAAAAAAAAAAGAAGAAGUUAGUAGAGCAAACUGCUGGUAUUUCACGAUGGGCCAGUUCGGAGUUUGGAAGGCCCAUACAUCGAUUCAUUAGGGCAGCACAGCACAACACAACCGUGUUCCCCCAAAUUGAGGCGGGAAGCAGUCCACCUCUCGCGCCUUUUUCUCUUCCCGGCCCCAAUUCCAACAGGUCAAAGUCAAACCCACUCCCUCCCUUGGAGAACCAACCCACCGCACCCACUCUCGCUGCCGGCGAUGCCUCCUAAGCGCAAGUCCCCGGCGGCCACCGCGGCGGUCGGGUCACCGAGGAAGACACGGAGCAUGGCCGUCGGUAAGCAGCGCGCCGAGGCUCCGGCCAAGGCGGCCAAAAAGGAAGCGGCGGCGGCGGCGGCACCACCCGAGCAGAAGGGGAGGAAGAGGGCCAAGAAAGAAGAUGCACAAGUGGCGGCUGCGGCGGAGAAGGAUUCCGGCGCUGUGGUCAGCGACGGGAAGCGCAUCGUUGUGGAGGCAUGGUAAGUGCCCCCGCGCUCGGGUGAGGUUUUCUUUUAGAGAUUAAGAAUCUGGACUAUGUUGAGGGGAUUACUAGUUCAUCUUCAUCCUUGGGAUUUAAUGGCGUUAUGCUGUGGGCUAAUGAUUGAUUGAUGGAAAAAAGGUGAAGCUUUUAGGUACAUGCAGUACAUACUAUGGAUGGUCUUCUGUGCAUGCUUAAGAUUACGAUACCCGAAACCAUAAGGAAAUCAUUUUCUAGCGAUGUCAGAAUUCAGAUUCAGAAGAAAAAGAAAAAUAACAAUGUUCUCUUUGUUCCUAAGUUUAAAUAGUUUGCUUGGACGCUUGGAGAUUAUAGUAUUCUGGCUGUAGUGGUUUACUUCUUCUUGCGGAUUAUAGUUUUCUGUGAUUUUCUGUGAAGUUCGAUCCAUUGCUUUGCUAUCUAGGUUUCCUUUUCAUUGGUCAUAUACUCUGCUUCCUUCCUUGAUACUUGAGUUAAAUAAAAUGCUAACAUCAGCACAAUCUGCUGUAUUUCGUACGUUCAAGUAGUUGUAGUUACUGUAACUGCAAUAACUGGCGUUUUGUUUUUAUGAAUUAUCACCGAAAAGAAUUCCUUAAUGUAUCUCUAAUCACUUAAUCAGUAUGUAAAUCGACCUUCUUUUGUGGAGUAUUUACAUAUAACAAUGAUGAUUGACCAUACUCCCAUAUGGUGCAAUAGAUCUGUUAUUGAACAGACUUAUAGUUUGUUUUUUCACAUUGGACAAAUUGUUCUCCUUGCUUAGCUGAAUUAUUCUAGAUAACUUGUACAUCAUUCCUUUAUCUUGACAUAUCUAAAAAAGUCCUAUUGCAUUAAAUGAAUUAUUGGUAGCAAUUCUUAUUGAAUUUCCUUUUAUCCUUGCCUCUUUGUACGAUUCUCCAGCACUCAAUGCAGACAGUUCAAGAUUAGAGCUGCGAAGGUAAAGGAGGAUCUGGAAAGUUCUGUUCCUGGGGUAUCCGUGGUAAUCAACCCUGAAAAGGUAUCUUCAUGGUGUUAAAUCCAAGUAAUUGUUUUUUUGCGACAAUCAACCCUAAGCUAGCUAUUUGGUAUCUCACUGGCUUCCUUUGUUGUCAUCAUUGUUUUCCUCUUAAUUCUCAGCCACGACGUGGUUGCUUGGAGAUUCGUGAGGAAGGUGGUGAAGUGUUCAUAUCGCUGCUGGUAAUCUUUGUUUACUACUUCUUGGUACCUGAAUCAUAAGGGAUUUUUCUUAGCUUUCUCCAUCUGUUGUUUGCAAGCUAGCUAUCCUUUGGUUUUCUUUAACUUGCAUUGGCAGUUCUUUUCAGUGACGAUACAUUAAUUCACCUAUGUACUUAUUAAAAUCAACUGUGUUGCAUUCCAGUUUGAACACUGAAUCCAAGAGACCAUUCUAUAUAAUUAUUACCGUAUUUCCCAGGAAUUAGGCUGUAUCAUGAUUUAUGUGUGACUGAACACACUCCAAUUUGUGUGCAGAACAUGCCACGACCUUUCACAGAAAUGAAGAAACUUGACAUGGAUGAGGUCAUCAAGGACAUAGCAAACAAAAUCUCCUGAAUCCAACCAGCAACUAAUAGGGUGAAAAUCUUUAGGUGGCUUACAACUAGUAGUAAGCCUCCAAACCCACCUUUCUGUUGGAGCUUCAUCUUGAACUGUUAUUGAAUGGCAGUCCGUGUUGCAUGCCCAUGGUGUGUUGAUUCAGUGGCCCUUUCUGUGCUCGAUGUAUCUAUAGACAUGCCGAAUUAAUCGCAGUAGUAACAAUGGAAAAGAACUGGUACCUGAUGCGCCCCUGUGUUAACCUGCAUACCACUCGUAAUCUCUAAGAUUCAAUUCACUACUGAUGUUUGGGUGUCAUAUGUUUUGUUCUAGUCACAGGUUUGAAUUGCAGCUGUUUUUGAUAGGCAAUAAGGUUACCUUCUUAGGUCUUUCCUAACCUUCUCUCAAUAUAAUAGCCAAUAUAGACCAGGUUGUAUUCAGGUGAGAAGCUAAGUACAAAAUUAACAUUGUGUUAAGUCACUGCAGUCCUCAAAUCAAACAAUGUUGGCUCAAAUAGUAAUAUAUUUGUUUCUUUCAGUGCAUUGCAGGAGCUAGUAGAAUAUGUAGCUAUAUAAGUAAGCUUAACAAAUCAAAAAUACAAAUCACAAACUCACAGUCCCAUCUCAUGUACAGAGCUGCAUAGUUUUCCUUAUGAAUGUUAGACUAGGCAUUAUAUAAAUAAUGAAUGUUAGACUAGGAGAUUUGCUGACAGUAGUGGACCGCAACAAUUUAUAGUAUGUACUGACUGCUGUCUUUAGCAAUGUCUUCGACAGUGGAUGGCUGCCAGUUACCCCUUGGGUGCCUUGAGCCGUCGAAGUAUUUGUCUCCUACUCAUCCUCUGAAGCUGUCCAUUAAGCGAAAUGGAAACAGUAGGGAGGUGCAUCAUGCAGUUGAAAGAUGGAACAAACAUGGGUAAAAAUAAGGAAAAAAGAGUAUUAUGGACAGAAAUCAGAAGAAGCAGCUGGGCUGAUUUACCUCCAGAAUUGGAAGAAGGGCUGUCACCGAUAUUUGUCUCGAAACUGUAGGGUUCUCUUGUGUAUAACACAUGCCACUUCCUUUUAUCGUCUCCUUGGUCAGCAUAGGCCUUGACAUGCUGGACAUGGCUCAACUUGCCCCACUCAGGACCAGAUUCUCCAAGGGCUAUGGAUGUGAGCAGCUCUAAGCUGCAGUCCAACACCAGAUGCAUAGGACUCACACCUUGCUGUAGGUAUCUCGGGAGUUGUUCCAUGUCGCAAUCCUCCAGCGCUAGCUUCCGUAGCUCAGGCACACCCUCCAAUGUCCUCAUCUUCGGGCAGCCUAUGAUGAUGAGCUUCUGCAACCUAGGCAUUGAAGUGACCCUCUCUAGGUCAGGGUUAUCUUGCAGCUCAAGCUUGACAAGAGAAGCAAAGCUCUCUACAAAGUUGAGAUAUUUGAUGUCACAUAGACCCAUGCUUGUCAAAGCCGUCGCUUGUGAGGAAAGGCCAGGAGGAAGGCAUCUCAGCUUGCAGUUUUCGAGCAUAAGCUCCUCCAAUUCAGGCAUGGCCGGGACAUUAUUCAGUUGAUGAUCCCACUCCCACUCCUCAAACUCCACCAUGUCGAUCAGCCUCAUCUCCUUCAACUUUGGGAAUGCAUGGGCAUGGCGGAAUUGGCUCGAUGAUGGCUGCAUAGUAACAAAUUUAGGGCUAACAUGCUUGAUUGCAGGGGCACGGGUGACCUGAAAGAAGUUGAGGCAUGGGAGCUGGCAGAGGCCGUCAGGGAGCUGGGUGCAGCAGACCAGGUCAUCCAUCGUCACAAUCAACAACCUCAUAUAUGCACCUGCUGCUCCUGACAUCAUCCACCUUGGUAGCCGCUGUCCAAAAUAGCCUGUGAUAUCAAUAUUUUCUAGGCACAAGGGUGGGGUAAGCUCAUCCAACACCUCCUCGAUUCGCCGCUGUUCUUCCUCAGAGACACCUUUCUCAUCUUCUACUAACCCAUCUUCACCAAGUCUACUGCUACACUCUAAUCUCAAGUAGCGAAGAUGCAACUUCUCACCAAGCCUAGCCUCUCUAGCCAAGGAGGUAACGGGUACAUUCUCUAGCUUUCUUAGUGCAAGUCUCCGUAGCUUAGCAAGAGGACCCAGCUCUUGUAAACUACACCAGUCACCAUCUGCUUGUACAGGAAACCCAUACAAAUACCUCAAAUUUGUCAGUCGACAGAACUGUCGGGGUAUGCCACUUAUGCUUAUGCCUAGAAGGUCAAGAUGCCUAAGCUGCCCUAGCUUUACAAUGCUGUUAGGAAGUCUGACCAAAUUUUCAGAUAUAAUCUCAAGGUACUGCAAUAAUUUGAGUUUGCUGAUGUUCUGUAGUAGUCUAGCUAUGUCGCUGCAUUCUAGGAACAGAUACCUCAAGUGCUUGAGUUGGUGCAAGGAUUCAACCAAGGAUGCACUACAAUUUGUGUCUUCUAUGUGCAGAGUCCUUAGGCUUGUAAAAUUAAUCAACGAAUCCCCAUGGUCAAUCUUGAGCUCGCCAAUCACUAUUAGUGUUCUAAGUGAUCCCUGGCCUUGUAUGAGUUUCCACUCAAGUUCAUCGUUCGGUUGAAAAUCAUUGGUUUCUACAGACAGCCUAAGAAACUUUUGUGAUCUAAGUGCACCUUUGCCUCUUUCAUCUGAAGUUGAAACUACAAGUGCUUCAUCUCUAGAGAUAUCUUGAGCAAAUGAACGAAUGACAUCAUGCAUGGUGCUAACACAUUGAUCAGCGUAUUCUACAUCUGGCUCUAUUAGGUUUCUGUAAAUUAACUCUUGAUAGUACCUUUCUCCUAAUUUUUCUAAAUCAUCAGUGUCCCCGUGAAGAAAUCCUUCACUUAUCCACAUGCCAAUGACCGUGACAUCGUAGAAUUCUACAUUUUUUGGGAGGAGGGAGUAGUGCAGAAAGCACUGCUUCAAACAAGAAGGCAAAUCUUGAUAGCUCAGGUAUACCGCAUCAUUUAGUUCACCAGGAGGUACUGACCAUAUAAAAUCUUGCAGAACUUGUUCCCAAUCGGCUCUCUGUUUCUCCCUCCUGCGCAACAGUCCUCCCAUUACUUUUACAGCAAGAGGUAAUCCGUCACAUUUGUCUAUUAUUUCCAUUCCGAUGUCCUUGAGCAUGUCGUCAAUUUCAAGCUCCUCCAUAUCACUUGACGCUACCUGAACAAGUCAGAUUAUUUUAGCUUACUAUAUAUUCACAGUUGAUAUUUGUUAUUUUUUAUGUAUUGCAUAAGCUAGUCAAAUAUGGACUUACAUGUUUGUAAGGUGUAUAUAUCACACAAAUAUUGAUGUAUCUUAUCAAUUAUUCUUUUUCAAAAUUUUGGGUAGGUUUUUAGUUAGGUGACAUGCACGAAAUGAGUGUAUGUCCACUUGAGUGGAUAAAAACCACUUUAUGCAAGUAACAUACAUGUACGUUGUUGUAUGGGAGAAUAACACGACGGACCUGUUUCUUGAGGAGUGACCAGGCAUCUCGAGGAUACAGUUUGUGGACGUGGUGGAAGGGGCGGACGGCUUGCAUCCCUCGGGCAACGUCGUCAUGUCGAGUGGUUAUGAGGACACGGCUGCCGACGGCGCCAUGGCUGAAGGGCUCCCUGAGCAGGUUCCACCAUGCCCUGUCACUCCACAUGUCGUCUAGCACAAGGAAGAACCUCUUGUUCCUGAUGGCGUCGACAAGAAGGGACUUGCUGUUGCUGUCUCGAGCAUCGCCGGCGCCACUGCCGCCGCCGGCGGACUUGAUGGCCUCCCUCAGGAGCUCCACCUCGUUCUCGUCUUCCGUCACGCUCAGCCAUAUCUUCUUGUGGAAUGCUUUCUGGAUGGUCUCGUCGUUGAACACCUUCUUCGCCAGCGUCGUCUUGCCGAUCCCGCCGGUGCCCACCACGGCAACCACCAUGAUCGUUGUCAUAGCCGUGUUGCCGUUGGUGAGCCUUUGCACCAGCGCGCUGGUGUCCUCCUCGAUUUUCUCCCCAACAACACCCGAUCUCUCCUUCCCCAGCACCGGGUCCGUCCUGCGGUCGGUGGCGCUGGACCGUCGGGGCGCUGCCAUGUCCUCGUAGGCCUCCAGCUUGAGGAAGCUGAAAGCGGCAGCGCUCUUGCAGAUGGCGUCGAGCCUGGUGUUGAGCGCCUUGAUGCGGCUUCCAAUGUCGUGGGCGAAGAGUGGAUUGCGGAGGCAGAAGAGCAGCGAGUCCAGGCAGCCCACAGGGUUGGAGGAGGAUGAGCUGCCACCACCGCGCUGGCGCUGCAUGGCCUUGAGGUGGCAGAGGUCGAGGAUGUCGGUGGCGUCGUACAUGGCGUGCUUGAGCUUCGUCACCCACCCUUGGACACUCUGGUCGGUGAUACGUCGGCGAUCGGCGUCAGCGAGGUAGUCCUUGAGGAUGCGCAGCUUGUCGUGGAGGGUGGCGAUCUCACCGGAGACGCCGAAGAGGAGGUUGACCUCGUCCUUGGCCACCUGCUUGAGCAGGUCGCCGACGUAUGACGCGAACGCAUCCAGAACAAUGGCCAUAUGUGAGUGGUCGACACUAACACACACUGGAGGGCAGAUUGGUUGAUGAAGUAGUCAGUGCCCGCGCGUACGCGUAUAUAUAGCUACCAGCAGACAUUUUUUCUUUCCUUUUUUAAAAUAAAGAUUAUCCCUGCCUUGCCUUGCUCUUCAUCAUGUGCUUAGCUUGCUUCUUCUGCUUCAAUCUUUUAAUUUGUUUUUAGCUCUUUUUUUCUUUUCUUUGUUUUUCGGUCAGAUUAAUUGUGAUGCAAGGAAGGGCUCAUUGCAGGGUCCAUCUUUUUCCUUGUCAUCAUUUCCUUCAUUUGCUUUCUUCUACCCUCUUCUUGAGUAAAUUAUACCGUGGGUACAUAAAUAUUGGUUGUUGGCUGUGAUUGAGUACAAGAUAAUGAAACCUGACUAUGUUGGUAUUAAAACCUUGUUAGUGGGUGCAAUUUAAGUUUUUUUAAAAAAUAGUCACUUAGGAUAUCUGCACAUCAGCUUGCCACCCUAGCAAAAUGGUAAGUACGUUGUACAUACCCCUUCUUAAUAAAAUUUGGUCGGCCUUUCUUUCGACCGACCGGGCAAAUGCAUAUCUUUGAACCAUGGAAAUCUUCAUACACAUCAAUAUUGUCGAAUCACCUAUCCCGUUGGAUUAACAAACUACUACUCAUCAUGUCAGAUUCAACGGCUUACUGAUCCACGCAGUAGCUUAUUAGCGCAUAUAUAUAUAUAUAUAUAUAUAUAUAUAUAUAUAUAUAUAUGCAAGCACACCGUACUGCGGACUCUAGCGACGACUAGCAUCACUAGCCUCUCCAAGGUGUGCAUAUGCACCAUGCGACUGCCUGGGCAAAGAAGAAGAAAAUAUUGAUGUGAUAUACACGACAUAAGAAAUAAUUAAGUAGUACUAACCACAUUGUACACAGGAUCUGAUCGAUCUCGUAUGGCUAUCGCCGAAUGCAUUGUCGCCAUCGAAAAGACUUUGCGCGAGAUCGACGAGUGAUUGAUGCCGCCUGGGUUAGUUCAACUAUUGCUGCAUCGCACCGUCGACUAGUCCCGUCCCGUCGCGCCGAGGACGAUGACCUGCAAUUCCGCCGCACGAUGUUGCCGAUCGGUCGACACCGCCGCCGCGCCGCGCGUGCAGGUCGCCACGCCGAUGCAUCACGCCAUCACCUGCAACGCAGCCAUGGAUCGACGAUGCAUCUCGCUGCUGUUGCGGAAUCGACGAUGAAUCGCCGCCGCCUUCUCCGAGUUCUGGUAUAUCGCGGUCUCUCCCAGUGACCUGAUUUUCGGAUCCGAUGCACUGGUGGGAACGAGGAAUUGUGCGAGCUCAGGUCAUUCCGGUUUCCGUGGCUUAAUUAAGGGGUACGUAAUUUUUUUUCUCGUCAAAAAGUUAAACGGGUCCGCUCGUUAAUCCGAUAUCAGGAUCCAUCGAAGCUAAUCACAUAUCGACGGUGGAUGAGAGCAGGUGUACAUCCUCCCAGGUGUAUAGAAUCAUUUUCAUAUAUAUAUAUAUAUAUAUAUAUAUAUAUAUAUAUAUAUAUAUAUAUAUAUAUAUAUAUAUAUAUGAUUAAUUAAUUAAAUCUAAAAAAAGUUAAAAAAUAUAUUAAUACGAUCUUUUAAAAAACAACUUUAAUAUAGAAAAUUUUUCAAGCUCAAGAAUGUAUGCACACGGAAAACAAUAUAAUAGAGGUCGGCAAAGAGUCCUGAACACACCCUAACAAGAGAUUUGGAAAGCAGUACUAUGUGACAUCCUCCAAUUCUAACAACACAGUAUUAGUAGUUGAAAAAAAAAAAUCUUUCUGAUUCUCAUGGCUUAAUAAUUGAGUUUACCAAUAGCUAGCACAUUCAACAAUAUUUAGGAGAAAAACCUUUUCACUUUAAUUACAGGUGUAACUAGAGUGUAGAUUUGUUUUGAACGUAAAACCCGCACUUGCCCAGUGGUGGAGAGGGCUCGCCAAAGAGGCAGAGCUUGUGCAAUUGAAUCCCGCGCUGUCGAUUUUAUUCCCAAUCUCCACCCGCAUGAAUUUUAUACAUAGCCUAAAUCUUAAGUACCUUUGCGCUGGUACCUUCUAUCUUAAUGUGUUGGAUUUAGAGCAAUCAAUGGCUCUAAUAUAUCACAAGCACUGUAGAAAGUCUAUUUUUUUAAAACAAAGUUUAUCCUUGCCUUGCUCUUCAUCCUGCACUUAGCUUGAUGCUUCUGCUUCGAUCUUUAAUUGUUGGCUUUUAUUUUCUUUUUUUUUAUGCGAGAUUGUGAGGCAAGGAAGGGAUUGUUGAGGGAUCUUCAUCAUUAUUUUCUUCAUUUGUUUUCCUCUUGCCUCUUCUUUUCCUACCCAAUGGGCAUUUAGCUCUGCAUGCUAGUUUACACAUCCUCCCUCAGGUAUCAAAACGAGAUCAAUUUACUUCCUUUAGUGAUAUGCAUCUUGGUUUUGUCCUAAGUGACCUGUUGGCCAGUUAACCCAGCUAACGUGGCAUCCACUUUAGUGCCAACAUGAACAUAUAAUAAUAAUAAGGAAAAAAGUACGAAUUAUACCCCUGAACUAUCGUGGUCGACCGUAUUACCCCCUUGAACCUGAAAACCAGACAUUACUCACCUUGAACUUUUAAUACUGGAUGAAUUACACCCCCUCGACCCAAUUCAGAGCAGUUUUGUCCAACACAGCGUACGCGUGUCAAUUCCAUCAGCAUUUUCAUUUAAAAAAAUUGGUGAGACCCACCUAUCAUGCCUCUUCACCCGUCUCUCUCUCUCAGGCGCAGGUGCGCAUGAUGGCGCGGAGGGGCGGGAGGUGGACGGCGGACGCCGUCGCGCAGGGGUGCGGGACGCCGAGGUGGGAGCGGCAAACAACCACCGGCCACAGCAGCUGCCACAACGGCGCACCCUCUGCCGCCGACAUCGUGGUGGAGGGCGACCUGGAGGCCGGAGGUGGAGUUGGGGUGGAUGAUGGAGAUGAGCUGCGUCAUGCCGAGGCCCUCCGCGACCAUCUCAUGCACCGUCCUCCGUGUCGCUGGUACGAGGACGAGGAGCAGAGUCGGUACGAGGAGUUCACGAGGAGCGUUGCGUCACCACCGCCUCGUCUCGUGCCGCUGCCUCCUCGUCUCGCGCCGCUGCGCACCGCCCUCUCCCGCGCACCGCUGACCACCACCUGCACCCGUGCGCCACUGACCACCGCCCACCCCCGCGCGUCGCCGUCCGCCACCCACCCCCACGCGUCACCGCCCGCCACCCACCACGUGCCGCCAUCCACCGCCCACCCCCCGCGCGCCGCCCGCCCGCCCGUCCACAGAAGCUGGGCGCGGAGGAAAUGGAGAGCGGGGGAACGGCCUCCUCCUCCACCGCCGCCAUCACCCUCUUCCUCCUCCUCCCCGUCCUCCUCCCGACGCUGCUCCAGCUUUUGGUGUUCGCCACUCCCGCCUCCACGUCUCGCACCCCCGUGCGCCUCUGUCCGCCCCGCCGUCUACCGCCCGCCCCGCUGCGCCGCCAUGCGCACCUGCGCCCAAGAGAGAGAGAGAGAGGUGGACGCUGGCGGCCCCGUCCACUGCAGUCGCCCUGGUCACCGCCUUCACCUCCUUGGUCACCGGUCGCACAGCCCCCUCACCCCGUCGUAGCCGCCGGUGUGCCGCGUCGAACCCUUUCCCCAGCCAGCGCGCCACUCGUCCCCGCGUCGCUGCUCACCGCCUGCCUC
rnacentral:lncRNA from 1 species